rnacentral:tRNA from 1 species
UGAUGUGGCUCAGAGGUAGAGCACCGCCUUGGUAAGGCGGUGGUCGCGGGUCCGAUUCCCGCCAUCA